rnacentral:rRNA from 1 species
ACGGGAGGCAGCAGUGGGGAAUAUUGCACAAUGGGGGAAACCCUGAUGCAGCGACGCCGCGUGAGUGAAGAAGUAUUUCGGUAUGUAAAGCUCUAUCAGCAGGGAAGAAAAUGACGGUACCUGACUAAGAAGCUCCGGCUAAAUACGUGCCAGCAGCCGCGGUAAUACGUAUGGAGCAAGCGUUAUCCGGAUUUACUGGGUGUAAAGGGAGCGUAGACGGGACAGCAAGUCUGAUGUGAAAGGCGGGGGCUCAACCCCUGGACUGCAUUGGAAACUGUUGACCUUGAGUGCCGGAGAGGUAAGCGGAAUUCCUAGUGUAGCGGUGAAAUGCGUAGAUAUUAGGAGGAACACCAGUGGCGAAGGCGGAUUGCUGGACGACAACUGACGGUGAGGCGCGAAAGCGUGGGGAGCAAACAGGAUUAGAUACCCUGGUA